AGUGAACGCUGGCGGCAGGCCUAACACAUGCAAGUCGAGCGGCAGCGGGUCCCCGCGAGGGGAUGCCGGCGAGCGGCGGACGGGUGAGGAACACAUCGGAAUCUGCCUGGUUGUGGGGGAUAACGUAGGGAAACUUACGCUAAUACCGCAUGCGACCCUGAGUCGACGGACUUGGGGUGAAAGUGAGGGACCUUCGGGCCUCACGCGACCAGAUGAGCCGAUGUCGGAUUAGCUAGUUGGCGGGGUAACGGCCCGCCAAGGCGACGAUCCGUAGCUGGUCUGAGAGGAUGAUCAGCCACACUGGGACUGAGACACGGCCCAGACUCC
rnacentral:rRNA from 1 species